UUGCUCGCUUUGGCAGCACAUAUACUGAAACUGGAAAUACAGAGAAGAUUAGCAUGGCCCCUGCGCAGGAUGACACGCGGAUUCGAGAUGCAUUCCACUUUUUUAA
rnacentral:snRNA from 1 species